UACGAAGGGGGCUAGCGUUGCUCGGAAUCACUGGGCGUAAAGGGUGCGUAGGCGGGUCUUUAAGUCAGGGGUGAAAUCCUGGAGCUCAACUCCAGAACUGCCUUUGAUACUGAAGAUCUUGAGUUCGGGAGAGGUGAGUGGAACUGCGAGUGUAGAGGUGAAAUUCGUAGAUAUUCGCAAGAACACCAGUGGCGAAGGCGACCUUCUGGACAGAUACUGACACUGAGGCACGAAAGCGUGGGGAGCAAACAGG
rnacentral:rRNA from 1 species